UGUCAGCACCGACAGUAAGCAUAACAUGGGGCCCGCAGCCACGAAUAGGCAGACGAUUUAUGACUAUGAACAAAGGGAAUAUAUCCAAAUUAAUGUGACACCGACAAGGAGUUGAGGGUUAUGAUUGGGGAGAAUUAUUGUUGCAAAUUUAGAGCGACCCCAUGAUUCUCCAACUCUGUGGAAUAAUUGAGGUGGAAUGCUCAAAGAGAGGGCUAUGUAUAGGGCACUGCGGUGUUCUGCACGAAGUUAAAAGCGACUAGAAGGAAAUGGUCAAAAAGACGCAGUGUUGGCUAUGGCAUCUACUCGUAAAUCGGGCGUCAAAACAGAGUUCAACUUCGGUGAGAAGUGAACUUAUCUACUCCAUGGAAAGGAUUUUUAUACACUUUCACUGAGCUUUUCUCUGUUUUCACUGUGGUUAGUUAUUCACUGACAGGUUAGCCCGCCUUAGGAUGGACCGAGUUCCCAUUGAGGAAGACGAGGACCUUCACAAUGAAAUCGAGGAACUGCGUGAAGAUUUGUUGCAGGCAGAGAUUAUCAUAAAGACUCUGAGAGAAAAGUUAAGAAAACAGAAACAUGGAACGCAACAACUCGUUGUCGCCUGGAAAACAAAGCUUCGAGAUCUAGAACGCGAAACGAAGCAAAAAGAACAAAUGCGCGAAAAACAAUUACAAAAUAUAACGUCCAGUCUUUAUUAUUUGGAAGGACAGCUAAGGAAAGAGAAAAAAGAAAUUGAGCUUUUAUUGCAAGAAAAGGAUAGGACUAUCGAAAACCAAAGGCAGACGAUUGAAAAAUUAAAACAAGAAUGCGACACGAACCAAACUGCUUUGCAAUGGAAAGAAAGCCAGGGUAAAUAUAAUAAUAAUGAGAGAGAGCGGGAAAUAUUUAGCCGACGUAAGGAAAAUGAUUCUCCUGCAAUGAAAAUUAGGCCAAGCUAUGCAAGGGAAACAAGCUUGGAGAACAAAACUGAAAAGGCCAAGCUGCCGGGUUCUUCCACCAAAACACCCGUUCCUUUAAGUGGGAAAGAUGUUAGCUGGCAGGCCACCGAGAUGCAGCAAAAAACAGCGAUGUUCCAAGCAGCCGAUCACGAUUAUUCACAUCAAAAUGUACGCGGAGAUACCUGGUUGGAAAAACCGUACGAUGAAAGACGCCAAUAUGGCCAUUAUGACCAUUAUCAGGAGACAUUCCACCAAAAUGUGGGCGUACAAAAAGAGAAUCAGUCUCCAAAAGAAUCAAAAUACUUGAAGGAACAUCCUGCAAAAAUUUCAAGAGAGAGUCCAAGAUUUCAGAUUCCUUCUUCUGAGAACACACGUGAUCCUUCUGGCAAGAGACGGGGAGAAAUUAAAGAGUGUUACACCACCAACAGAAGCAAUGCCAAGCAAUAUGCGCGCAGCUCACAAGACAUGAACUAUCAUUUAGCAAAAGAUUAUGGUCUGAACCUUGAACAUCGCGAUAUCUCAUCGCAGAGCUGCAGUUCUCCGAAGGUGCGGGUAAGCGAGAGUCCGACGUCUCCACCAAGUCCACAUCCGCCCUGGGGUGCGGUGUCCGUUAAUCCGGCGCCCAGUAAUCCGAUACCACGGAGAACGGUUUCUGGGACUUUUCCAGGGCUCGACCCACGGAUGUCGCCUCUACAGGUCUACAACAGAGACGGUUCACCAAGGUGGUCUCAUCAAAGUACCCAGUCUUCAUCAGUCUAUUACGAUGACAAUGAUACCAGUAGCUCCUCAAAUAGCAGUUACGAGAAUGUGUUCUCGUCCCCUGGGGUCUAUGACCCAGUGUAUUCAUGGAACGACCAGGACGGUGAGGAGGGAGAGAAAGAAGGAGCUGCGUGGAAGAGAAAAGCUGCGUCCUUGCCCGCGCACCCGACCGGAGCGUUAGAGAGAAAAGGGACACCUGCCCACAGAACAGCGUCUUGUUAUUCACAGGGGUAUGAGCAAAAAUGAACUGUUCAGCAUACCCGUUCUUCUAUAAAAUAAUUAACAAGAAAAUAUACUGAUAGAAGAAGGAUCAACUGUAAAUUGUCCAAAAUGGUGGUUUGCAUGAGAGAAAUUACCACAAUCUACAAACGGUGCUGUACCCAUAUCUUCAGGGCUACUCUCUCGUUCCGCGUUUUAGUUGAUCCCAAGGAAAGGUCACCUCACCUAUUCGGAACACUUUGUUCACAUUAGAGGCUGACGAGAGAAGCAGAGCCGGAUAUUUGGUCCAAGUGUAGAUCGCGGCCCAUCGAAAUUACAGGAGAAAAAAACACCAGUGACACCAAUAUCCGGUUUACAACACUGUUUCUGUAUCAAUAUGCACGUUGCUUUAUUCUCUGCUCAUAACUAGAGUUGAUUCAACUGUAGUCUAGUGUGCUAGUGAGGUAUUGCGUUUUAUCCAGCAUUCAGUUGCUCAUAUUAGAACGUAUCUUUGCAAGGUAUCAAACAUGCUCGACAAUAGCCGGUGUAACGUAACAGAGAGUCUAAAUUGAGGGCGGACCUCGUUUCGUUAUACCGGUGUAUCAGGAAUGCAAGUCGCUAGGAACCGUAGUCCGCUUCCCAUUACUUUGUACAGGUGACAUUCAUCCCAUAUACUAACCCCAAUACUCCAACUAACCCUAACAUGUACUAAUCACACCGGAGCCCGGAAUUCAUUCCUGGACUUGCAUUCAUUCAACACCGGCACUAAAUUAUCAUUUUCAUAUGCAUCACUAUCAAGGUAUCAAUUCGUUUGUCACGCUAAUCUGCUGUCGUUUGUUGCAAAUGAUUAAUUAAAUAUAUCAAUAUCUCGAAACGUGACAUUAUUUAUGCCUUGAUCUGUAUUUGUAACAACAUGCAGCGAACGACAUCUAUCUUAGAAUAGGAGUACUCCUUAGCACCGAAAGAGGAAGAACUGUGCCUCAUAAUGGGCCCGAAAACUUCAUUGCCGUCAAAUACAUGCUUGGAAGCAUGCCAGGUUUUCUGUUAAAGCGAGAGCGAGAUAUUGUUUUUGUGUUUGAUUUCGGCAGAAAGUUCGGAAGAGAUUAGCUAAAGACCUUGUUGUGAAAACUGCCGAAAACUUUCCUUAUGAAAGCCGAACCAAUCUAGCGUUCCUCAGAGAGGAAGUUUUGAUAGAUUGUCUGUUGACUGCAUAUCAUCCUUCCAGUUACAUGCCAAAAUACGCGUGGAAAUAGAAUUUGUCUUCAUUCAUAAACAAUUUAACUGGGAGCAUUUCCAGUGCCUGACAUAACAGCACUUAACAUUGCAAGGCUGCAAUUUGAUGAAAUAAUAUGUAGGCGUACGGUGCCCAAAUCACUAUUAAGUUUUAGAGGUACUAAUUUCCUCUCAGAUAAAGUAAUGGAAUUAUGUACAUACUGUAUGAGUACGCAGGUAUGUAAAAAAUUCAAAGCAGUUUAUAUCAUCCAAUUACAAAUGGUCAAUAAGAGUAAUUAAACUGUAUGAUCAUGAAAUUUUUGUCAAAUUAUGUCCCAGAGAAUCAAAAAAGAUUGGGAUUCGUUUGUAAAUUCAGCUUUAAUUGUGAACCGAAUGCUAGUUUUAUGACAAGCCCAUUAUUUUUAUACGCAAAGAGGCAAGAUUAUCAAUUGAUGUAGCCUUUCCGCCCCCUGUAAAAAACCUCCGUCAAUGAACUACCACACUCAAUAUAUGAUUAAAAAAUUGAGCGUUGCUAAAGAGAUUGCCCACGAAAAUAAAAGACGACAAAGGAGAGAAUACACAACUGUACGAUCGAAAAUCUGAGAACGUGAAAUGUCAAGUAGGCGAUAGUGUAUUUGUUUACAAUCCAACAGUACCAAGAGGAUGUACCAAACAGUUGGCACGAC